rnacentral:misc_RNA from 1 species
UCCAGCUUAUCGCUGGCGGUCUCCUGCGAGUGCCACGGCAUGACCCGGGGGCAACUAAAGACAGGGGUUGCGCUCGUUGCGGGACUUAACCCAACAUCUCACGACACGAGCUGACGACAACCAUGCACCACCUGUGCAGGGCCCCGAAGGACACCGUAUCUCUACGGCUUUUCCCUGCAUGUCAAGCCCAGGUAAGGUUCUUCGCGUUGCCUCGAAUUAAACCACAUGCUCCACCGCUUGUGCGGGCCCCCGUCAAUUCCUUUGAGUUUCAGCCUUGCGGCCGUACUCCCCAGGCGGGACACUUACUGCGUUAGCGACGGCACCGAGGGGGUCGCUCCCCCCGACGCCUAGUGUCCAUCGUUUACGGCGUGGACUAC